rnacentral:rRNA from 1 species
UACGAAGGGUGCAAACGUUGCUCGGAAUUAUUGGGCGUAAAGCGCACGUAGGCGGCUUGGCAAGUCGGAUGUGAAAUCCCUCGGCUCAACCAAGGAAGUGCAUCCGAAACUGCCGAGCUUGAGUACUUAAGAGGAUCGCGGAAUUCCCGGUGUAGAGGUGAAAUUCGUAGAUAUCGGGAGGAACACCAGUGGCGAAGGCGGCGACCUGGACGGACACUGACGCUGAGACGCGAAAGCGUGGGGAGCAAACAGG